rnacentral:rRNA from 1 species
GACGAACGCUGGCGGCGUGCCUAAUACAUGCAAGUCGAGCGAAGUUUUUCUGGUGCUUGCACCGGAAAAACUUAGCGGCGAACGGGUGAGUAACACGUAAAGAACCUGCCUCAUAGACUGGGACAACUAUUGGAAACGAUAGCUAAUACCGGAUAACAGCAUUAACUGCAUGGUUGAUGUUUAAAAGUUGGUUUUGCUAACACUAUGAGAUGGCUUUGCGGUGCAUUAGCUAGUUGGUGGGGUAAAGGCCUACCGAGGCGACGAUGCAUAGCCGACCUGAGAGGGUGAUCGGCCACACUGGGACUGAGACACGGCCCAGACUCCUACGGGAGGCAGCAGUAGGGAAUCUUCCGCAAUGGGCGAAAGCCUGACGGAGCAACGCCGCGUGAGUGAAGAAGGAUUUCGGUUCGUAAAGCUCUGUUGUUAGGGAAGAAUGAUUGUGUAGUAACGAUACACAGUAGAGACGGUACCUAACCAGAAAGCCACGGCUAACUACGUG